UCGCGGCCAUAUCACGUUGAAACAUUGGUUCUCGUACGAUCAACGAAGUUAAGCAACGUCGUGCCUGGUCUGUAUCUAGGUUGGUGAGAGCUUGAGAAUACCAGAUGCUGUAAG